rnacentral:rRNA from 1 species
UAGGGAAUCUUCCACAAUGGACGCAAGUCUGAUGGAGCAACGCCGCGUGAGUGAAGAAGGUCUUCGGAUCGUAAAGCUCUGUUGUUGGUGAAGAAGGAUAGAGGCAGUAACUGGUCUUUAUUUGACGGUAAUCAACCAGAAAGUCACGGCUAACUACGUGCCAGCAGCCGCGGUAAUACGUAGGUGGCAAGCGUUGUCCGGAUUUAUUGGGCGUAAAGCGAGCGCAGGCGGAAUGAUAAGUCUGAUGUGAAAGCCCACAGCUCAACCGUGGAACUGCAUCGGAAACUGUCAUUCUUGAGUGCAGAAGAGGAGAGUGGAACUCCAUGUGUAGCGGUGGAAUGCGUAGAUAUAUGGAAGAACACCAGUGGCGAAGGCGGCUCUCUGGUCUGCAACUGACGCUGAGGCUCGAAAGCAUGGGUAGCGAACAGGAUUAGAUACCCUGGUAGUCCAUGCCGUAAACGAUGAGC